UACAGAGGGUGCGAACGUUGCUCGGAAUUACUGGGCGUAAAGCGCGUGUAGGCGGGUCGGCAAGUCAGGCGUGAAAUCCCCAGGCUCAACCUGGGAACUGCGCUCGAAACUGCCGGUCUUGAGUGUCGGAGAGGGUGGCGGAAUUCCUGGUGUAGAGGUGAAAUUCGUAGAUAUCAGGAGGAACACCGGUGGCGAGGGCGGCCACCUGGACGACAACUGACGCUGAGACGCGAAAGCGUGGGGAGCAAACAGG
rnacentral:rRNA from 1 species